rnacentral:rRNA from 1 species
AUUCACGCUGGCGGCGUGCAUAACACAUGCAAGUCGAACGAUGAAACUUAACUGAUUUCUUCGGAAUGAUUUUAAGUGGAUUAGUGGCGGACGGGUGAGUAACGCGUGAGUAACCUGCCUUGGAGAAGGGGAUAGCCUUUGGAAACGAAGAAUAAUACCCUAUGAUAUGAUAAUAUCUCAUGAUAUUAUCAUCAAAGAUUUAUCGCUCUAAGAUGGACUUGCGUCUGAUUAGUUAGUUGGUGAGGUAACAGCUCACCAAGGCAGCGAUCAGUAGCCGGCUUGAGAGAGUGUACGGCCACAUUGGGACUGAGACACGGCCCAGACUCCUACGGGAGGCAGCAGUGGGGAAUUUUGCACAAUGGGGGAAACCCUGAUGCAGCGACGCCGCGUGAUUUAGAAGGCCUUCGGGUUGUAAAAAUCUUUUGUAUGGGAAGAAAAUGACAGUACCAUACGAAUAAGGACCGGCUAAUUACGU